ACUCCUACGGGAGGCAGCAGUGGGGAAUAUUGCACAAUGGGCGCAAGCCUGAUGCAGCCAUGCCGCGUGUAUGAAGAAGGCCUUCGGGUUGUAAAGUACUUUCAGCAGUGAGGAAGGGGGUGUCGUUAAUAGCGGCAUCUCUUGACGUUAGCUGCAGAAGAAGCACCGGCUAACUCCGUGCCAGCAGCCGCGGUAAUAC
rnacentral:rRNA from 1 species